GGAUUUCUAUUUUCCAUCUUAAAAAUAUAGCUUCCGAGAAGCAAGAACAAUGCCUAUCUUUUCAAUCUUGAAAAUAUACAUCUUAGAAUCGCAUAGCAAGAAUAAAGCGUGGACCUGGUUGGACAUCCCCGAUCGAUUGAACUCCGUUGCAGCACUGUGGACUUCGUGACUGGUGAACGUGAGUCGGAAUCAAUUUUGGAACUGCUGUUGCCGAUCAACGUGGAUGUGAUUCGGCUUUUGCGUGCUGCUAUCGUGACUGGGAUUUAAUUAAGUCGCCAUGGCUGCAGAGUUUGAAGGGUGCCGAAAUUGCAAUCUAAUUGCGGAGUCAAAUCUAAAUUCGGAAUCGCUGCUGUGGAUCAACUCGACGUGUUCAAGCCAUUGAUGUUGACUGGGAUCAACCACUGCCAUGCUAUUGAGUAGCCUCCAUUACUGUUCUGAAAUUGGACUUCAUGCCUCGUUAAUUGUACUUCCCUAAUUUCACACAAAUUGGACUUCCCAGUGUUUCUUUUGCAUUUAUAGGAAUGGCCAUAUUUUUAGUACUGUUGAAGUGCGAUGAACAUGGUACUGGCUUUAAUAUAUUCAUGGCACUCCUAAUCUUGAAUUAGCUUACUCAGGUUUAUUGCAUGAACGAACUUAGAUGGGCAAUUGGGUAUGAUAAGCUUUAGGGCAAUACUGGAGAAUUAUGUUCCAAUUCU
rnacentral:lncRNA from 1 species